rnacentral:lncRNA from 1 species
CUUGGGUCCCCAGCCCCAAAGUCAGAGGCUCACACGCUGGGAGCCAGGUCGGCCCCUCGGCCCUCCCCACCCCGCCACCUUCCCAUCCCCUACAGAGCCAGCUGGGACCCCCAGGGAGCUCCAGAAACAUCGGCCGGAUUGCAACGUGGGCCACCCAGAACCGGACACCAGCCCUCAGAGCGGUCAGGCGUGGGGCCCAGGAGGUCGCUGGACACAGGACCUGGAGAUGGAGCGUGGUGACGGCUGCCCACCAGGCAAGCCCGUCCUCCAGCAAAAAGAUUCCGGCUUUGCCGAAGGCUCUGAUGAUGGUUAACACCUUUUAGCCAUAAAGUAUUUUUAAAUGAAAGGAUGCACAUUGUUUUUAUAGACAUAAGGCCGUUGCACACUGAAUAGCCUACAGUGGAGUGCAAACAUGACUUUUUUCUUUUCUUUUUUUCUUUUGAGGAAGAUUAGCCCUGAGCUGACAUCCGCCCCCAAUCCUCCUCUUUUUUGCUGAGGAAGACUGGCCCUGAGCUCACAUCCGUGCCCAUCUUCCUCUACUUUAUAUGUGGGACGCCCGCCACAGCAUGGCGUGCCAAGCAGUGCCAUGUCCACACCCGGGACCCGAACCGGCGAACCCCGGGCCGCCAAAGCAGAAUGUGUGCACUUAACCACUGCGCCACCGGGUGGCCCCUGAACGUUGCUUUUCUACGCGCUGGGAAACCCGAGAAAUCGUGAGACCCGCUUUAUUGCGACCUUGGCUUUAUUGUGCAGUCUGGAACCGAACCCACGGUGCCUGUACCACCUCCGGGUGAUACAUAGCAGGGAAUGCAGCAGACUUUUCCUCAAAGGAAAGAGAUUUCCAGAAGGGAGUCAGAAACUUUCAUUCGUUCAUUCACUCAUUCAUUCCUACAGUUACCGUCUUCCCUGAACCCCCAGGCUUUGCAGGGUGGGUGGAGCAAUGGCCCAGACCCUGGAGCCGGCUUGGGGCAAAGCAGAAACAGCAAGAAGACCUGCGAUGGGGCGACCUGUGGACUGCAGUGUGCCCCUGCCUGCGUGGGGACAGGUCAAGGGGCCAUCGAGGAGUAGGCGUGUCACCUGUUGCCAGGUGCCAGGUGCCCGUGGCGGGAAGCCCCUCGUGCACAUCCCUGCCCAUCUAGUGCUGGCGACAACUCCGGGAGGCGGGUGCUAUGGGAACCGCCAUCCUUCAGACGACAGAAACCAGGUCGCCACAGGGCCCUGCCCGCCCAGCAUCACAGGCGGCACCCGACACGCAUCAGCUGUGAUUGUUGGAGCGUGGGUGCUCUUUAUUUAUUACAGGACCCUCCGGCAGUGUCAGGGCACGGAGAGUGUGCAGCCAAGGAACCCGACAAGCUGGCUGCAGAUUUACGAAGUGGUGCCAGCUCCCGGAGAACAUCGUCCGUCUCAGAAACGACUUCCUCAUCGUUCCUCAGAGACUCGAAGCAAUUAUUCUGUUUUCUUACCAUUUUGGAUGCAUUUGAGUCAUGAAAAUAACACCGGACAUGAAAAUGCAACAGGACCCAAGAGCAGCUGUCUCUCCGCCCUUUCGAAAUGAGCCACUGGCCCUUGGCUUUAUUCUAAGUUAUCCUGAUUCCCUCAGACUUCACCUACGAGGAGGGCAAUCUGGUCUUGUUACUUCCAGAAACUCACUAGUAUUGUCUCUUGUCUGAUUCCAGCAUUUUCACGUGCAAAAGAGAACGGCCAGCCCAAGGUGUGGUCUGCUUUUUCUUUCUUUCUUUUUUUGUUUUGAGGAAGAUUGGCCCUGAGCUAACAUCUGCCACCAAUCCUCCUCUUUUUUUUUUUUUUUUUUUUGCUGAGGAAGACUGGCCCUGAGUUAACAUCCAUGCCCAUCUACUUUAUAUGUGGAACGCCUACCACAGCAUGGCGUGCCAAGUGGUGCCAUGUCCACACCCAGGACCCAAACCGGCAAACCUGGGGCUGCUGCUCUUUCUGACUUUGAAGACGUUGGAGGAGGAGCUCUUCCGACAUCAGCACAUCCUCCUUGCUCCCUCGGGAAUCCCAAUCUUUCUCUAAAUGAGUUUGUAGAAGAAAAGGCAUUUUGUACGAAAGCCGUGAUUUCUUGCCCCGCCCGCUUUGCCGUAUGUUCGAGACCAUUUAGAAAACAGAAACUCAACUCGAGUAAAAGCACAGAGGUGUCGCCCUCCCUGGAGCCCCUGCCCCCCUCCCCCCAGGGGCGUCGGAUCCUUCCGGAGACAUUCGAGCAUCUGCACGACCAGGUUCACAUAUUGUGUCCCUUUUGGACCGCGGUUUCUAUAAAGGGUGGCUCACGACGUACACGGCCUCAGAUUGCCCCCCAGCUCAGAACACAGAGGGCCCCCUCGUUCGUUGUGUGCCCCCCCCAAACUGUGGGUGGACACUGGCUGUUUCUGUUCUUGGGCUCAGCAAGCUCUCCGGCUGCUGUGUCUUGAUAUACCUGUGACCUCGUGAAGGCCCAGGCCGGAUGUUCCGACAGCUGGUUCAGAUUCACCAUUCGCCUUUUCAAAAAUUUUUAUUUUCAGUUACUUGAUUACUUGGAACUUCAUCCAUGUGGCAAGCAGCCUUGUCUUGUGCCGUGGACUUUUGCAGACAGAUCUGGCUUCAAAUCUCGAUUCUGUUACUUAGAAGCUGUGUGACCUUGUGCAAGUUACUUAACCUCUCUGUGUCUCCAUGAGCAAGUUACUUAACUUCUCCGUGCCUCGGUCUCCUCCCCAACUUAAAGGGGGGUGAUGAUGAUGACAGCCCCCAUACCGUGGGCUCCUGAGGAGGACUAAAUGAGUCCAAAAGGUGGCCUUUUCUUGGAACGGUUCCCAGCAUACGUUUCCAUCAUUUCAUGCAUCCAGACCUACAAGGGGAUCCGAGGCAGCGAGCAUUUGCAAGAAAUGUUUCCCAGACUGGAAACACUGAAUCUCCGUGCGCAUCUCUUCUUUCCUUCCUCUUCCCGCGUCCUCCUGCCAACAUUUGCUGAGGGCUCCUGGAUCGGCUAGACACCCGGUAGGACAGGCCAGCGCCCCCGCCUGCUCAGGCGGCCUGUUUGGGGCCAGGGACAUUUCUGCAAAUCCUGGGGCCUGCGCUGGGGGAGGUAAGCGCCUGACUUUGAGAUGCUGAGAUCCGGGGCUCACAGUGGAGCCGGGAGGGAGGUUGAGGUGGGAGUCGGCGAGGGGACACUGCGUGAUGCCCGACGGCCGGGCUCCUGCUGACACCUAGUGGAAGGACGGAAUUCGCAUCCUUUUCAGCCAGGGUGCCUCUGCGAGAUUGAGGUCUCCCCCAGAACAUCUACGAGAUGUCGCGCAGACAGACCCGGGCCAGAGAGGGAGCAACUUGCUGGGCGUCACACAGCACAUCGGCUGCCCCAGGGGAGGGGGUGUUGAAGGACCCAAGAUAUCAUUUUAAAGGAAGCUGUUUUGGGGGGACAGGUAAGUGAGGUCUCAGGCCUUGAUGAGAUAACGUGUUUUCCGAGCUUUUAUUCCUCCACCAGGAAGCCCACCUGGAUUGCUCCAUCCCCACUCCGAGGCCUUUUUUCUCCUCUGGCCAGUUGUUCAUUUGUUCAUCCUUUUAACAAAGGUUUACUGAGCCCAUGGGGACAUGCAGGGAACUAAAUAUUUUUAAACAAUCAAACAACAACAAAAAAACCCCUGUGCUGGUGGAACUCAUACCUCAGCGGAGGAGACAGAGGAGAAACCAACAUACAAAUCUACAAAUGGGAGUAUUUCAGGGACUAAGAAGCCGUUGAAAGAACUUGGUGAUGCGACAGAGACUGAAUUUGUGGGUGCCAAGGUGGGGGGAGGAGAGGAUCAAAGUUAGCCAUGCUCAGGGAAGGCCUCUCAGAGGAGGUAACAUUGAAACCAAGAAUUGAAGGAGGAGAGGGUGUGAGCCCUGGGGGAGAUACCUGGGGCAGGCCAGAGGGCACAGUUCGUGCAAAGGCCCUGGGGCAGGACUGGGCCUGACGUGUUGGAGGAGCAGCGAGGAGGCCGUGUGGCUGGAGCAGAGGGAGGAGGGGAGCAGGGAGGGGACAGGCAGGUCGUGCGGGGCCUGGGGGGCCGCGGGGAGGACUCGGCUUCUCCCCCAGGGAGGGGAGCCUGGAGGGCUGUGGGCAGAGGAGGCGGGACCGGCUCAGGGGCUCCCAGGCACUCUCUGGUGGCGGCUGCGGGGAGGACAGACGGGGGGACCAGGAUGCAGGGGCCUGCGCUGAUGGGCUGGACCAGGGAGACGCCCACAGAGGGAGGAAGAAGCGAUCGGAUCCUGGCUGUACUGGAAAGCAGGGGUGAUCGGGUUUGCUGAGUGGCUGCAUGUGGGCGGCAGAGCAAGGAGCCCGGGGCAGCUCCCAGGUUCUGGCUGAGCCCCCGGGAGAAAGCAGCGUCCUCAGCUGAGACGGGGAGAUGGAGGGAGGAGCAGUUUCUUAGUCCGUCUGGUCUGUUGUUGCAAACUACCGGAGACGGGGGCCUUAUAGACGAUGCACAUUUAUUCCUCACGGUUCUGGAGGCUGAAGUCCAAGGUCAGGGCGCUGGAAGAUUCCGUGUCCGGCGGGAACCUGCUUCCUGGUUCACAGACUGGCUGUGUCCUCAUGUGGCAGAAGCAGCAGGGAGCUCUGUGGGGUCUCUGUUAUAAGGGCACGAAUCCCGUUCAUGGGGGCCCCACCCCCACAACCUCAUCACCUCCCAAAGGCCCCACUUCCUGACCCCACCGCCUUAGGGGUUACGUUUCAACAUAUGAAUUUGGGGUGGGGGGGACACCAACAGUCGGUCCACAGCAAGCAGGUCAGAGGAAGAUAGGGAGCUCGGUUGGGGUCAUGAUAAUUUUGGGAUGGCCGUGACUCCCCCACCCGUACCCUAGUGGAGACAUGGAGGGACAGCUGCAUGGGACCCUGGAGCUCAGAGUGGCCUGGGCUGGAGACAAGACUGUGGGCGUCGAAAGGGCACAGAUGGGGUCGGAGCCCAGAGGACGGAUGGGGCCACCGGGGAGGGGUGUGGGUGGAGGAGAGACGGGGCUCGAGGAUCCAGCCCUGGGCCAAGAAGGGAAAGGGGGGAGUCCCAGGGGAGCUGGAGAGGUGGGAGGGGAGCCGGGUGAGUUCGGGGUCCGGGGCUGCGUGAGAACAGAGUUCCCGAGAUGAGUGGGGACUGGCCAGGUUGGAUGCUGGCUCAAAGUUCCCUUUUUUCCCUUUUUACGGCUGCAUAAUAUUCCAUUGUAUGGACAGACCACACCUUGCUCAUCCUUUCACCCAUCACUGGACAUUUGGGUUGUUUCCAUCUUCCGGCUACUGUGAGUCCUGCUGCUGUGGACAUCCAUGCACAACUUUGCGUGGCUGUACAUUCCCAGUUCUCUUGGGUCAGAUGAUAAUUCUGUGUUUAACCUUCUGCGGAACUGCCAGACUGUCUUUCAGAGCGGUUGCAUCAUUUGACGUUCCCACCAGCAACAGAGGAAGGUUCCAGUUUCUCCCCAUCCUCCACAACACUUGUUACUGUCCGUCUUCUCGAUGACAGCCAUCCUGGCAGGUGGGAAGUGGCCAGUCCGGUUGCUAUUAGGUUUGAAAUAUCCAUCACGUCAGCCCACUCAUCGCCAGCCCCGGGCCAACUUGAACAUCUGCCCUGGUCUACCCCCCCUCCAAAGUUCACAAAGUAGGUGGUCAGUUAAUACUUGUUCAAUGAAUGAAUGAAUGGAAUAUUAUGCAGCUGUCAAAAAUGAUGUUACAGAAGAAUGUUUAAUGAGGAGGUCAGCAGAACAACGCCCCCCUCAGCAUCCACAUCCUCAUGCCCGGAACCUGUGACUAUGCUCCCUUCCGUGGCAAAAGGGACUUUGCACAUGAGACUUCCUCUGCAUCAAGCAGAGCGAUGCACGCGUCCUCAGGAAGCGCGAAAAUCAUCUCGGCCGACCGCAGGCGUAGAAUGUUCUUUUUCAGGAGCUACAAUGUAACAACUCUUUGCAACAUUGUUUAUCUAAAGUCCCCAGAGUUACAACCUCCGCCAGUUUCCGCAGGGCCGCGGUUAAGCACGCUGACUCCACAUCCACCAACGUCCUCGGUUCAGUCCCGGCGAAAACGUGCUCGUAUGUUUUUUUCCUUCUGAUGGAAUUUUAAAACUGUCAUAGAAAUUCUUGGUCCUCGCUUUUUUUUCUUUUCUUUUCUUAUUUCUCCUGCCUUUUUAGAAAUUAUGAUGGAAUUUUAAAAAUUAUUUCAAAGUCAAAAAAUUCGAGUUGGCUGAUUUGACUGGAAAAUUUUAAAUGGAUGGUAAAAGAGAAAAGGGGAGCUGCAAUUAACGAGAAAGAAAAAGCAGCAAGAGUGAAACCCAAAACUUCUGCGUUGGCCGGGAAUCGAACCCGG